AGACAAACGCUGGGACUCUUGAGGUCCUUGAGGAAAGUCCAUGCUCGCACAGUCUGCGAUGACUGUAGUGAUCGUUCCUAGGGAAUAAAUAACCUAGGGUAGCUUUUGCUAACGGCGGAGUUUGUAUCUAAGUCUCUGAUAUGAUACAAAACCAUAAAGUGCCACAGUGACGAUUUUUUUGGAAACAAAAAAGUGAAACGCGGUAAACCCAACGAGCGAGAAACCCAAAUAAUUUGGUAGGGGAGUUCUAUGAGGAGAAUUGAAUCUGAUUAGAGACCAGUUAAUAGCUGGUAGAUAAAUGUUUGUCGCUUAGGUAACUAAGAACAGAACAUGGCUUAUU
rnacentral:RNase_P_RNA from 2 species